GGUGAACGCUGGCGGCGUGCCUAAUACAUGCAAGUCGAGCGAACGGACGAGAAGCUUGCUUCUCUGAUGUUAGCGGCGGACGGGUGAGUAACACGUGGAUAACCUACCUAUAAGACUGGGAUAACUUCGGGAAACCGGAGCUAAUACCGGAUAAUAUUUUGAACCGCAUGGUUCAAAAGUAAAAGACGGUCUUGCUGUCACUUAUAGAUGGAUCCGCGCUGCAUUAGCUAGUUGGUAAGGUAACGGCUUACCAAGGCAACGAUGCAUAGCCGACCUGAGAGGGUGAUCGGCCACACUGGAACUGAGACACGGUCCAGACUCCUACGGGAGGCAGCAGUAGGGAAUCUUCCGCAAUGGGCGAAAGCCUGACGGAGCAACGCCGCGUGAGUGAUGAAGGUCUUCGGAUCGUAAAACUCUGUUAUUAGGGAAGAACAUAUGUGUAAGUAACUGUGCACAUCUUGACGGUACCUAAUCAGAAAGCCACGGCGAACUACGU
rnacentral:rRNA from 1 species